UUCAGAAAAGAUUGACUUCAAGAAUUCUACCACCUGGUUUGACACAUUGAAAUUCACUUCACUUACCACAAUAACAACCAAGACAAGAAUAAAGGCCCAGAGAAGGACCAAUGCUCACAUAACUGACAGGUCUUCGUGCCAAAUUUGAACACGGAUCUAGUCACCCUUCAACAGCACUGACCUUGGAAUGUUCUAUGAAGACAGUGGUUGCCAUGUUACUGUUGCCUGCCAAGCACCAUAAUUAGAGACCCAUGGCUUCUGACAGGUCUGGCACAGCUGAUGAC